CCAAUGGGUGACGAAAUAGUUCGCUGAGCUCCGCCCCCCGCCCUGGCCACGCCCCCAUGGGUGACGAAAUAGUUCGCUGAGCUCCGCCCCUCGCUUGUCCCUUCACUUCCGGCGCCGCUUCUGGCUGGCGCCACUAUGGCGACGCAGGGGCUGUCGAAGGCCGAGUAUCUGCGGCGCUACCUGAGCGGCCCGGAGGCCGUCCAGCCCCGCCGACGCCGCAAGAAGAAGGCGCCGGGAGUCGCCGGCAGAGGCGGGAUGCGCAUUGUGGAUGACGAUGUCAGCUGGAAUAGCAUUGCUGCUGUGCAGGAGAAGGAGGAGGAGGAGGACGAUGGGGACAUGCCUGUGGUGGCAGAAUUUAUUGAUGAGCGUCCAGAUGAAGUGAAGCUUAUGGAGGAAUUCCGGACAAAUACUAAGUGGAAACUUCUAGGAGACCAGAAUGGAGACUCACAGAGUUUGGAUGUUUCAGCAGCUGCUAAUUCAACUGUGAGGCGGCAGCGCCAUGACACCCCGGAGCCUUCACCACCAAGGAAGCCGUGGCUCGAUUCCUCGGACAAAUCUCCUCCAAGGCGACAGCGCCACGACACCCUGGAUCCGUCCCCUCCCAGGCGAGAGAGAAAUGAUUCCCCCAACUCCUUGCUUCCGAAGCGACAGCAUCACAACUCCCUAGACUUAUCACCUCCCAGGCGACAGCGUCAUGACACCCCAGAGCUCUCACCUCCAAGACGGAAGCGUCACGACUCUCCGGACCUCUCGCCACCAAGACGGAAGCGUCAUGACACACCAGACCUGUCACCUCCUAAACAACAGCGUCACAACUCCCCAGACUUAUCACCACCAAGACGAAAGCAUCGUGACUCCCCAGACCUGUUACCUCCUAAGCGAAAGCGCCACGACUCACCGGACCUCUCACCGCCAAGACGAAAGCGCCACGAUUCACCGGACCUCUCACCACCAAGACGGAAGCGCCACGACUCACCGGACCUCUCACCACCAAGACGGAAGCGCCACGACUCGCCAGACCUCUCACCGCCAAGACGAAAGCGCCAUGACACCCCAGAUCCAUCCUCUCCCAGGCGACCACGCCACGACGCCCCAGACCUCUCGCCCCCAAGACAGAAGCGUCGUGACUCCCCAGACGCCAGUUCAGCAAUGGGGAAAAAGAGCUGUAAAGCCCUGGAGAAGUCACAGUCAGGGCGAGUCCAUGGAGAGCAGUCUUGGCUCGGGCACGGUGUCUCUGACAAGUCCUCGUCACAUCAGAAGCGUCAGGCCACUCCAGAUUUGUCUCCUCCACGGAAGAAGAGGUACAGUUCCGAUGCAGAUUCAUCACCGCCUCGGAGGAAGAGGGCUGGGUCGCCAAGUCUGAAAAAGCAGAGCAGAACAAAAGCCACGAAAAAGCCCUCACCCCAGCGGUGCCUGAGGCGCGGCUCUGACUCUCCAUCCCCGCGGAGGGGUUCCCGGAAUGCCUCUGAUGCUGACCACAGGCCAGGCCGUAUAUGCAGUGAUUCCCCUCUCAAAAAGAAUCACAGUAAAUCUUCGGACUCUGAUUUAUCCCCUCCACGACGCACUCUGCCAUCUGGCAAGGAUCAGCGCCAUUCAAGGAGUCCCCCAGACCUCUCGCCUCCACGCCUCCGCGAUGCUAAGGGUUCUCCUAAGAAGGCAAAUGUGAUGUUUUCUGGAGUGAAAGCUGGCUUGGUGUCGGCUGAUGUGCUGCGGAGGGAGCAACAGGAUCUCCGGAGGCAUGAGAGGAAUAACAAACACUUGGAAGAGGAAUCCCGAAAUGCUGAAACCAUCUUCCGAGACAAGUCUGGCCGCAAGAGGGACCUGGCGCAGGAGAGGCUGGAGCAGAGGCAGAAAGACGAAGCACAGUCCCAGAGAGAUGAGCAAUACGCCAAGUGGGGAAAAGGGCUGGCACAGGGGAGGCAACAGCAGCAGAAUGUGGAAGAUGCGAUAAAGGAGAUGGAGAAGCCAUUGGCCCGUUAUAUCGAUGAUCAGGAUCUGGAUCGGAUGCUGCGGGAACGAGAGAGAGAAGGAGACCCCAUGGCUGACCUUAUCAAGAAAAGGAAGGCCAAGGAAAAUAAAGAAAAAGAAAAACCAAGGUACAAGGGACCAGCACCUCCGCUCAACAGGUUUAACAUAUGGCCUGGGCAUCGCUGGGACGGUGUGGACAGGUCCAAUGGAUUCGAGCAGCAGCGGUUUGCCAGGAUAGCCAACAAGAAGGCAGUUCAGGAGCUCGCCUACAAGUGGAGUGUUGAGGACAUGUAGAUGAGGUGAAGAACUAUACAAAGUAUCAAAGAAAACCAGAAUUUCGCCUCCUGCUUCUGCCAGAGCUGUGAGGAAUGGCUCACUCUGCCCAGACCCAUCUCUGUCCUUGGUGGUCGACGUCCCAGGGGACUGGAGGCAAGGCUGAAUUUAGAGGAGAGAUGUCCAAGGAGGAUUUUCUUGUUGGACAGGGAGAACAAGCACAGAGAAUGGCAGCAGCGCUUCCUGGAGCAAUGCAGCAGCUGAGCACGGAGGGGAGACGCGAUGGCUUCUGCCUGCUGGCACAUGUUGGCUCUCGGGGACUGUCCUGUGAAGUGCUGUGGGGUUUGGGUUCUGGUCCGUUUGUCUUCUAACAAACUGUAGAAACUGUAUGCUUGUUUGAUGCCAAAUGCUUUGUCCUCUGAGGGUGGCUCACAAGUCUUCAGGUGUCCUAAAUCUCAGGUUUUUCUGGAAGUCUGAACGCUCAGUCACUGAAGUGUGAGCCUCAUCCACUGGGUUCCCGAGCUCCAUUGCAGUUCCAGUUGUGUUUGAGUUCUUCCAGAGAGCAGCAAUACCCCAGAACUACUUACUGUAGGGAGCUGAUCCACCUCUAGGCUGGUGUUGGAUGUACAUCUUAUCCUUCGCAGUGCUUCCAGAAGGCUUCCUUUGAGUCUGUGUGGUCACCUUUGGUCCACAGAGUCACCGACCGGCAGCGACUUUCAAGAAGCUCGGCUUCUGGCCCUGUCUGAGCGGGAAGCAGCUCGCUGCCUGCCCCUGACGCUCUCCUACAGGAGGCUAGGAGCCCAGCAGGCAGCAUUGUGUUUGACAGCAACGCCUCAAGAAACCCUGCAACUCCGGGGGGGCCAGUUUCUGGUGGAAAUACACAUGUAGAGGGAAUUUAAGUGGCUUCCCCUGCUGGCUGUCCUGAUCGGUAACCCCAGCGUUCUCUCCGGACAGCGGUGCUGAUAGCUUGAGCACUUCCCAGCGCUGCGGUCUGGAGGCACGCGUCAACGUGAAGUGUAACUGCUCUCUUGUGGUCACAUUCGUCAGGCUCUGAGCUGGAGGCCAGGCAGAGCUUCCUGCCGUCCCUGCUUGUGAGAAAGCACUUGUGGAAUAAAUACAGUUGUUCCUGCGAGCAUCCCAGGGUGCAGGCAGAUGCGCAUCCAUAUUCAUUUUGAAGAAACUCGAGUUCACCAGCCAAGCCAGCUUGGGCUCCUGUUCAAGCGGAGAAGGUGUGUGCUGGAGCGCUGCAGCCCCGGCUCCCCUGCAUGCAAAGCUGUGCUAGCACCGUACGGAGCGAGUGAAUGUGCCGUGCUGGGAUGUUGGCCAAAUCCAGCCCUGCGCAAGUGCCGUGUGGUUUCCAGCCUACAGAGGAGCCCGUCCCAGUGCUGAGGACACCGCAUCCCCGUCUUGGCCGGUGCUGUUGCAGGUUUCCUUUUCUCCUGCUGCUACCUGUUGCGCUGCAGGGAUUCGGCAAAAGGAAGCUUUGAGAUGGCAAACGCUGAAGUUGGAAGCCCUGCAAGAAGAGCAGAUGUCGCUGGGUGAGAGAUACGUCUCACAAAACGGAAGAAAAAAAAAUCAGGCAUCGUUAAGAGAGGUGAACAAAUUAAUGAUGCAAAGCAGCCUCGGCAGAGCAGCGUUCCUCCAGGCAGCCGGGCACGGCAGAGAAUCGCUGCUGCUCUGAAGUUACGAUGAAGCAGGAGGAAUUUUCCCAUUGAGGCUUUUCCCUACAGAAGACAGGGGGGGUUAAUUAAAUAAGUAGGCUGAUGAAAUGUGUCUUUUCCCCCUGAAAAGCUCACAGGUUUGCUGCAGGAUGGCAAACACCACCAAACGCUUCUUUAAUCUCCAUCAUUCCCGUUGCAGCAGCCCGGGGCCAAUAGUUUUGGCUUAUCAGGGUCGUCUUUGGCCGUCUUUGCUGUUUCAAUGAAUACUUGGGAUUAUUUAAUGAAACCUGACUGAUCCCAAGGCCUGACCUUAUCCCAUGAGCGGGAAGGAGGCCAUCCAUGUAUCACGCCAAACCUCAGCAUCCUCAUCCUCCUCGUCUGGGCUGGCCGUCGCUCACCAGUCCCUGGCUCGGUGGCACUCAGUGGUGUGGUCAGAGAUGGGCAGAAAGAUCUUCCACCACCAAAGGCAGCAUUGGAGUCAGCCUCCAAGCUCGCUGUUGUGGUCCCUUUCCUCGCAAGCUGGGUCGGGAGCGUGGGAUAUGAGAUUAAAGGCUCGAGCCUUGGUCCAGGUCUGCAACACAAUGCAGCGCAGGGCAAAAGGGAGAGAGAUGGCAAGAAGAGGAUAGCCAGCUCUUCUAUUUCAGUGCAAAACUAUCCACUUUAAAUACCCUUUUUAUUACAUUAUCUGCAUAGUAAUACUAAUAAUAGAUCUUGUUGGCAGUUCUAAUGAGGCUGGAGAAUAUAAAGUUUCCAAUAAAGUUAAUUGUUGCCUUUAAUACUCUCAUACAUUUAUACAUGGUAAAUCUUUAAAGGAAAAAACACUCAUUUCUUUUCCGUUAAACUUUCAGAACUGGUCCAUCCUUUGAUGGGCUGAAAGCACAUCCUCUGCCGGGUCAGGGACUCAGCACAAAAAGUCUUCUUAUCUCUGAGAAAAAAUCGGAGGGGGCUGAGAAGAGGAGGCUGAGGGGAGACCUCAUCGCGCUCCUGGAAAGGAGGUU